GCUCUGAGGACUGAGCCGGUCGGGCUGGGGACCUGAAGCAGGAACGGCACUGCACCGGGACUGGGCGGGGCUCGCCGUUCACGCGGCGCGGCCAAGCCCGGACCAGCGUCGGGACCUUCCUGUGGAAAGCCUCAGCUGCGCGGCGUCUGAGGGCUUCGUGCCCAAAGUGCUAUGCUUCGGCCGGCAAAAAACAGUCAACUCAGAACUGGCACGGACCGGGGGAAUCCGACUGUCUAAUUAAAACAAAGCAUUGCGAUGGCCGCUGGUCGGUGUUGACGCAAUGUGAUUUCUGCCCAGUGCUCUGAAUGUCAACGUGAAGAGAUUCAUCAAAGCGCGGGUAAACGGCGGGAGUAACUAUGACUCUCUUGUGGGCGGGCUGAGCGCACGCGUGGAUCACAGAGAGUAGCCC
rnacentral:ncRNA from 1 species